GUUUGACCUCGGAUCAGGUAGGGAUACCCGCUGAACUUAAGCAUAUCAAUAAGCGGAGGAAAAGAAACCAACAGGGAUUGCCUCAGUAACGGCGAGUGAAGCGGCAACAGCUCAAAUUUGAAAUCUGACCCCUGCGGGGCCCGAGUUGUAAUUUGUAGAGGGUGUUUCGGGCGCGGCGCCGGUCUAAGUUCCUUGGAACAGGACGUCGCAGAGGGUGAGAAUCCCGUAUGUGACCGGUGAUCAAGCCCAUGUGAAGCCCCUUCGACGAGUCGAGUUGUUUGGGAAUGCAGCUCAAAAUGGGUGGUAAAUUCCAUCUAAAGCUAAAUAUUGGCCGGAGACCGAUAGCGGACAAGUAGAGUGAUCGAAAGAUGAAAAGCACUUUGGAAAGAGAGUUAAACAGUACGUGAAAUUGUUGAAAGGGAAGCGCUUGCAAUCAGACCGGUCCGGGGGUGAUCAGCCGCUGCUCGUCAGCUGGUGCACUCGCCCCCGAUCCGGCCAGCAUCGGUUUGGGCGGUGGGAUAAAAGCCCCGGGAAUGUAGCUUCUUUCGGGGAGUCUUAUAGCCCGGGGUGCAAUGCUGCCCGCCUGGACCGAGGACCGCGCUUCGGCUAGGAUGCUGGCGUAAUGGUUGCAAGCGACCCGUCUUGAAACACGGACCAAGGAGUCUAACAUCUAUGCGAGUGUUUGGGUGUCAAACCCAGGCGCGGAAUGAAAGUGAACGGAGGUGGGAGCCUGUCAAACGGNGCNCCAUCGACCGAUCCANAUGUNUUCGGAUGGAUUUGAGUAUGAGCAUAGCUGUUGGGACCCGAAAGAUGGUGAACUAUGCCCGGAUAGGGUGAAGCCANAGGAAACUCUGGUGGAGGCUCGCAGCGGUUCUGACGUGCAAAUCGAUCGUCAAAUCUAGGCAUAGGGGCGAAAGACCAAUCGAACC
rnacentral:rRNA from 1 species